ACGCUCGACACCUACGGGAAGCAGCAGUGGGGGAUAUUGCACAAUGGGGGAAACCCUGAUGCAGCAACGCCGCGUGAAGGAAGAAGGUCUUCGGAUUGUAAACUUCUGUCCUCAGGGAAGAUAAUGACGGUACCUGAGGAGGAAGCUCCGGCUAACUACGUGCCAGCACGCCGGACGGUAAUCUGGAGGCGGGCGUGGACGAAGGC
rnacentral:rRNA from 1 species